UACACAGUUAGAAUACAUAAGAGGGUCAUGGAACCGUUGGAGCAAGCCCAGAGGAGGGCCACAAGUGAAUACAAUAUUGACCACUACCAAGAAUAUUCUCCUAAUUAAUUUCUAGACUCAGUCCCUACUGGACAGAUUAGGAACCAGCUAAACUGAAGAAACCUCCCCCAAGAAGCUCAAACUGAAACAAAUCUUCUGAAAAAGGGGAGACAUCAGGACAAUUCACUCACAUAGCCUGAAGAUAUUCAUCUCUGCUGAUGGCCAUAAUGGAUCCACCUGCGCUUGGAAGGUGUCAAAGACUCUUGAAAUGCCCCGUGAUCCAGUAUUAAUCAUCCAGUGACAAUCUCCCCUCCCCAGGGAAGGCACCAGAGCACAAUAAAAGACCACAUUCAGACUUCA